GUUUUCACUGCCACAACACAUGUACUAAAAUUGAAACAACACAGAGAAGAUUAUCGUGGACCCUGUCAAGGAUAACUUGCAUAUUAAUAAAGUGUUCCAUAACAAA
ensembl:snRNA Gm26468 U6 spliceosomal RNA